rnacentral:rRNA from 1 species
GACGAACGCUGGCGGCGUGCCUAAUACAUGCAAGUCGAACGCUUCUUUCCUCCCGAGUGCUUGCACUCAAUUGGAAAGAGGAGUGGCGGACGGGUGAGUAACACGUGGGUAACCUACCCAUCAGUGGGGGAUAACACUUGGAAACAGGUGCUAAUACCGCAUAACAGUUUAUGCCGCAUGGCAUAAGAGUGAAAGGCGCUGUCGGGUGUCGCUGAUGGAUGGACCCGCGGUGCAUUAGCUAGUUGGUGAGGUAACGGCUCACCAAGGCCACGAUGCAUAGCCGACCUGAGAGGGUGAUCGGCCACACUGGGACUGAGACACGGCCCAGACUCCUACGGGAGGCAGCAGUAGGGAAUCUUCGGCAAUGGACGAAAGUCUGACCGAGCAACGCCGCGUGAGUGAAGAAGGUUUUCGGAUCGUAAAACUCUGUUGUUAGAGAAGAACAAGGACGUUAGUAACUGAACGUCCCCUGACGGUAUCUAAACAGAAAGCCACGGCUAACUACGUG